UAAAGCAAGUAAUAUUUGCUAAAAAGAAGAAGAAUAGAAAAUGGAUAAAACAAUGACUUCGAUGACAAGAACUCAGUAUUAAAUGAAGCAAGAACAGAAAAUGGAUAAAACCAUGACUUCAGUGGCAAGAACAUAGGCGUGCUGCAUCCAUGGUAUAAGAAGAACCGAACAUGAUACCAGAUGGUACAGUGGAGUGAUGGC